GCUGGGUGUGGCGGCACACAUCUGUAGUCCCAGCUACUCGGGAGGCUGAGGUGGGAGGCUUACAUGAGUCCAGGAGUUUGAGGCUGCAGUGAGCUAUGAUCAAGCCACUGCACUCUAGUCUGGGCGACAGAGUGAGACCCUGUCUCUA
ensembl:misc_RNA Metazoa_SRP Metazoan signal recognition particle RNA